CACUCACUCUGACUUUCAAGUAAGGAUGAAUAUAUAUUAAGAAGGAGAAAGAGUGAUUUCAUGAAGGCCCAUGACUACCAAACUAAAACAUCUUCAACAUUGGUAGAGGAGGGUUGCUUUGUUAGGCUUGUUUUACAACUGGAACUGUACAUUGCUUCUGGUGUAUAAAAUAGUGUAAAGAGAUGUGUCCGAGAUCUGCUAAGAACCUCAAUUUCCAUUCUCCUAGCAGUUCAAGAGGCUUUUAUCAAACAGCUUAGAUACUCUAGAGAGGAAAGAACUGUAGAUUACUUUUACUAACAUAUUAGUUUGACGUAGAUAGAUAGGAAGCUGCAAGUUAAGGCUUCUUUCAUUUUCAGUUGAUUAAUUGUGUUCAUUGAAAAGCUGAGUUUACAGAGAAAAAGAUUCCAUCUGCUCUUUCACUCCUCAAAAAGCCACUGUUGGCUGAGGCUGGACCAGACUGAAACCAGGAACCAGUAAGCAUGCGGUCUCCCAAACCCUCGGGUUAUGCUGUGCUGCUUUUGCCAGGUGCGUUAGCUGGAGCUGGAUGGGAAGUGGAGCAGCUGGAACCAAAACCAGUGCAUUGAUAUGGUAUGCACAUUUUGUCCCUGAAUGGUGCAUGGAUGUUUUUUCCCUCUGGAAUUCUGUCACUCCCCCUACACCUCCUCCCCAAACAAACACCUUUUCUGGUAACAAUUUUGGUUUUUCUUUGGGAAAGCAUGUUUUCACUACUCCUAGACCAGAAAUACAAGUAGGCAAAAGAGCCUCAACUAAGCAUGUAUAAAUUAAGUUGGGCUGAUUCUGAAAAUACUGUUAGGAAUGAAUAGUUCUCACUAACAUUGCCUGGCUGCCUGACAGAAUCAAGCUCACACAGAAGAAUGAAGAAAUUAAGAUGAAGAGAAGAAAGACCAAGACCUGAUGAUUGCUCAUGCUUGAAAGCAGAGAAUGGAAAUCAGGUAGCAAGAGGAAUGAAGACAGUGAAGCAGUGGCUGGAUCAGGAAUGGUCAAAGCCUGAAGUACAAUCCAUGUCUCCUACAUGCUUGGCUAUAACCCAACCAAGGGAAUCGUCACCACUGCCUGCUCUGGAGAAAGCUGGAGUCCAAAGCUGGGAAUGGAUCCUUGGUGCUCUCAGGUGAAUGUGAGUGUCUUAGCCAUUAGGCGAAAUGCUUCACCUUAAAUGUAUUUCCGACUCAAAGUUUUCUUUUAAAGUUUAUU